ensembl:snoRNA small nucleolar RNA SNORA16B/SNORA16A family
CCAGGCACCUAUCGAAGCCGUUAUUGCUGUCUAGUAGCAGACACGGUCAACAGGAUGCCUAUAACAUCACUUUCACCGACGGUCGCUGUGCAGUUCGUCAGUAACUGACACCGCAACAUUAAGGGGAAGGACACUC